GGCUUCAUUGCUCAGUUAGUAGAGCAUCGUACCAUGCAGUAUCGUGAAGAUCGUGAGUUCGAAUCCCGCUGUAGCCU